CGGGAGACUUACACAGAGGAAACUCCGAGGGCGCACGCAGAAGCAGCAGAGCACGCUGAAGCUACGCUCAAUCGGAAAGGAGAAGAAACUACAAGAAGCAUCAAGCUAGCAGAUUAAGCAUUGGUGGCCAGGAGUGAAGGCCACCUCUAGGAGGAAGCCGGCCAGGAGGUUGACGUGAAGCAGCAAGUCGACAGCAAGCUAACUUUCAUGGCCUUUUUCUCUAAUGGAAACCCAAAGGUUUCUCCGUCGAGCACUGAAGAUUAGCGUCACUGCCCUUCGUCGAGCUCGUCAGCGUGUGGCUCGCGGCAUCUCGGCGUCAUGAAGGAUGAAGCUCGCCAUCAGCUGCAGCCCGUCACCGUCAACAACAACACGACGUCAGCAUCGCGGAGGAUGGAGCUCGCUAACAGCUGCAGCCCGUCGCCGUCAACAACAACACGACGUCGACACCAUGGUGGAUGGAGCUAGACGGCUCCUGCAGCCUACCACGGCGCCAGCGGGGCCUAUCAUCAAUCCAUCACCAUCAAGUCAUCAACGACAAGUCGCCAUCAAGCUAGGCAGAGGAAGGGUUCAUCGGCAGGCACGUCAUCAAGGGCCGUGGCAGAUGGAGCUUGUCAUCAUGCUCAGCGGACUUGCCGGCGUGCAGUCCCUAAGCCGUCGCGUGAAGACGACGAGGUGCUGCGCCCAUUGCUUUGCGGUUCAACCAAGACGAGAAGGCAUGCCGACACCUAUGAUGACCGCCGUGUCAACUCGGCGUCCGACUGAAGGUGUCAUCGCUGGCUGUGCCAACCACGCCGACAAGUGCGCGUGCCGGUUUUAAAUCGGUGCCGGUCUCCACCAAUCACAUACUCCCACGGGACACCCGUCACCUACCCGAUGAAGCUGCUGAUCGUCAAGAAGUCCAAGCGAAGAGGGCCCAUGCUACUACAAUUACAACACCUACGCCGUUCAAGACCGACGAGGCAUGACGGCAGGCGGGCAUGGCCGGAGCAAAGGCCAUGCUCCCUGCGGCGCGUGUACCGACGAGGACACGGACUCUGCCGCCGCCACACACACACAUCACCUCUUCCUCAUGCAUGGGAACUUGAAGCGAAGACUGAAGACGACAACCAUGUGGCUUAAUCGGAGGUAUCUCGCGGCGAAACCCGCGGGAGUAAUUAACCGGGAGCCUUCCGAGGCCCCGGGGACCAGGAGACCGCAAUCGCCAUAGUCAGGCUGGCCGCGCUAGUAGGCCACGGAGCGCAACACGUUCAGGAAUUGUAUUUGUUUAUCCUUGGGAUUAAUAAAAUAUUUUUUCUGCAUUUUUA